CUCACUGCCAAGCUAUCUCAUGCUCUCUGUUAGUGCCACGGCCUUGGUAGGAUGUUGGAUAGAAGAGACUAAAUAGAGCAUUGCCGCCUUGCUGAGAGGGGGGUGCAGAUGCAGGAGAUAUAUGUCACUGACACAAGAUUGAAGGAAAGGAUGAUACAACAAAAAAGGAAUUUUCAAAGCCACUGGGCCAACAACCUUGACUGUAAUCCUUCCACACACGGUGUUUUCAAGUAGCUGAGUGUGCGACUGAAUUAAUCACGGGCGUUCCCUUCUCAAACAAUGGGGCCAGACAUGGAACGCAGAAAUAACUGCUGGCCCAACAGUCAUCCGCUCCCAGCUCAUCAACAUUUAUGAAAUCAGGACCAUCAUGAGAUGCUUGGCGAGACAAAUGAGUGCAGCAAUAUUUACCUGGAUGACUGUACCUGGGGCUGGGCUGUUUGUCUGCAGUUUACCCUGGGCAUUUCCAUACUGACCUCUGAACCCAUGUAGCUCUCAGAUGGAUUUGUGAAAUAUAGGAGUGGUCUUGGACUUCUCACCUAGAUGGGACCAUAAAUGGGUGUCCACGCCCAUUUAUACCUUUGUAUUGUUGGACAUGGCAGACUGCUACUUAUUGCAUCAUGUUGGCUGACUCAUGCUUUUAAAGGAUUGGGCAAGGUUAGCUUGGUACUAUUGUGUUGUGAUCCAGGUGUGUCCAGCAUAAACUUAGCAAGAGAGGGUUUUUACUGCAGCCUGCAAGAGAUAGGAAUAAACUGUAGUAGAAGUAAACUGAAUUGUAGGUAGAAGCGGAAGCAAGAUAAUAAAAUUAGCUAAACAAUUUUUGGACAUAAGUGUACUUACAUUUUUUGCUAAAUUGUGAUUAGGGUGGCUUUUUUUGAUUACUUUAAACUUAUAGAAGUUGUCUGUAAUGAAACAUUCAUAUAACCCUGUCAAAAUACUGGUUAUCUGCACUGCGUCAGAAAAUACAAUUUACAGAUUUGAUUAAGUAAUGCUCCAGCAUCAACCUUUGCAAUUUAGGUAAGCCAGACAGCCACAUCCACAUCACUGCCAUGGGAAUGAUGUAAGGGCUGGUCAAAUAUUGCAGCAAUGACCCAAUAAUAACAUUACUUAAUUUCAUUAUACAGGGCUUUGCAGAUGCCCUGUCUGCACUGAUGAAUAUUCACUCACCUCGGCAUGCUGAACACUGAGCUCCAACUGAUGGAAGUGCAAUCUCCUUCAUUCCAAAAUACUGUAUUUCCAUGGACAUCUUUUUUAUGCCUAUUUAAGUUCCUUGUCUUUAAUUAGGCAAAAUAGAUGUUGAAAUUUGGACAUUCUUCUGUCCAAUUUUAACCUAAAUAAUAAAAACACUGAAAGGCCAUAUGAUGACCUUUGACCUUUAAAGUAGUGUUGUGCGAUUAAUUAAAUUUAUUGUACAAUAUCAAUUUUGUCUCUAACAAAUCAGAGUCAUCAUAAAACAAGCAAAAAAGUAGACGGCACAAUUUCGUAUCUGGUGUGGCGAAGGAGAGGAUAAUGAAUUUAAAAAAGCAAUAAAUAAAUAAGAUAUAAAAAUAAUCAUAGUUAGAAUAUCUUCCAAUAAUUAGCACCACUACUUUCAGCCAUAUUUAGUUAUCCUUUCAUAAGCAUUAAUAUUAUCAUCUUUUCUAUGUCUUUUUUUGUGAAAAUUAGCUUGCAGUGUUUUGUUUCGGUUUAUAAUUAUUUGAGUAUCUUGGGACCAUAGAGCACUGGGUUUGAUAAGGUGGUCUUGAGUACAAAAAAAAAACCAAAACAAGUUCAUGAUGUCAUAGCAAAAGUUACAUGCCUCAUCCUAUCUCAGUAGUACAAUGUAAAUGUUACACGCUUCGUCCCAAUAUACCCGCCCUAUACAAAACAGCUGGGCAUUAAACACGCCAAAUCUGUUCCUCACAUUUAGUCAUUUGUUUUUCUUUAUGGGAAAAUCAGAAAUGGUGUGACGUGAGCUUUAUUCAAGUACUCCCCAGCAUUAUAAUUUGUAGCUUUGUAGAGUCUCUUACUGGUAUUGGAAACAGAAGAGUGCAGUAUCAUGCAUGCUUCCUCUUUAGGAGUAAGCAAAUACCCAGUUCUUAAUUUAAAAAGAAAUUCAACGACAUCUGAAGUAAAAAGUAAGUGCCCUCCGUAAUGGUGCCGCAGGCUAAGUCCGUGUCUUUGAUCCAGGCUCCAAGGCUGUGUCAGGAAGGGCAUCCGGCAUAAAAACUCUGCCAAGUCUAUGUACAAGUUGUAAUGACUUGCUGUGGCGACCCCUGAAUAAGCUGAAAAGGACUUACUAUUGAAAGUACAUUUGCACAAAAGUGAUUACAUUUCUGUUGGGAACUGGUCACAAAAUGUGAAAAUAUAUUUGUAUUGAGUCCUUAUUUUAAUUUUUUGUAAUUUAACCUCAGAUUUGUUGAAAUUUUGCAUUUACACUUCUGUUUGGUGUUCAUUGCAUUCCAGGUGGAUGCUGCAAAGUACAAAUAUACCUCCACUGAGAUAAUACAGUGUCAUCAACUAUUACAAAGUGUACUUGGUUCCUUGUCAAAAAUGUUCCAUUCUUUCCCAAACUGAGAGCAUGCUAACCGCCCUCUUUUGCAGUUUCAAACUGCACUGGGUUCAAACCACAGCACUGGAAAAACAAAAAAACCUCUUAAAUUUGAAAUAUAUUUCCUCAUGAAACUGAAAGGCAUCAGAGCAACCUGUAAAUAACCAUACUGAAAAUUAGGGGUGCAGGAAACAGAAAUUCACUGACUCUCCAUACAGUUGAACAGUACUGAUAGAAACGUUAAGGACUCAAGUGAGGGCGUUGCCUUUCUUGGGCGUAGGUAGAAAUGUUGCAGACAGGGGAUGUGGCAACUAGGUAUGAUUUGUCAUAAGUCCCAGAAAGCCAGGAACAGUCUGUAAAUAGGUGUGCCAUUCAUGAUGAAACUGAUAAAUGCUUCAUGUGGGAUUGUUCAAAGGUGUAGGGACAAAAUCAACUAUUGUGCUCAAGUUUUGCAUUAUCCACUCGGUGGAAGUCAGGCAAACUAAGAAAUCCCUUUCAAAUGAAUUGUCAUAGAUUUCUGUGCACAGAGAAAACAAGUCUCUGCAAUAGAAGCACAUAAAGCAACAGUUUAGGAGGCUCAUAUGGUUGUAAAUUACUUAAGUUAUAAUCUGUUUACUGCCUUCACUGAAUAAUUGUUGAUGAUAGCUUUUAUCGUGAAACCCUCGACAGAGCGUUACUCUUUUUGAAGGUUUCCUACCUGAAUUAAUGACUAUACUGGUCACUAUGCUAAGCACCACUAAGCACAGAUGUUGAACUGUCAAUAUGUCCCACUGCAUAACUACAUGCGGCAUGUGUGUUAACAUGAUUCAGCUCACUUGAAUGUAAAGGACUGCAAUGUAAAUUUACAGCUAAAUGUUAUGAUUUGUGGGUGUUUUUGGGUUUUGUUGGUCUUAUUUCA